rnacentral:rRNA from 1 species
AUUAUUAGAAAUAAUACAUUGUUAGUAAAUAAUAUUUAUGAAAACAAAAAAUCAUGGCGGUAUCUUAAGCUUUUCAGAGGAAUUUGCUCUUUAAUGGAUAAAACACCCAAAUCUUACUAAAAUUGGUUAAGACAGUUUGUAUACCACUAUUUAAGUAAUUAUUAAUUAUAAUUGCUGUAAAUUUUAAACAAAAAAAAAGUUAAGUCAAGGUGCAGCAUAAAUUUUAGGAUGAAGUGAAUUACAAUGCUUUUUAGAAAAGCGAUUUUAAAAAAAAAUUAGGAUUUGAAAGUAAAAAUUUUAAUAGAAUGAUUAUUUGAAUUAAGCUCUGGGAUAUGUAC